AGAGUUGAUCCUGGCUAGGACGAACGCUGGCGGCGUGCCUAACACAUGCAAGUCGAGCGGGGACUUGCGACUGAGUGAAGACUCGGUCGGAGAUGAAGAUGUAAAGUCUAGCGGCGGACGGGUGAGUAACGCGUGAGCAACCUGUCCCUUACAGGGGGAUAACACAGCGAAAGUUGUACUAAUACCGCAUGAGACCACAGAGUGACAUCACUCAGGGGUCAAAGGAGCAAUCCGGUAAGGGGUGGGCUCGCGUCCGAUUAGAUAGUUGGUGAGGUAACGGCCCACCAAGUCGACGAUCGGUAGCCGACCUGAGAGGGUGAUCGGCCACAUUGGGACUGGGACACGGCCCAAACUCCUACGGGAGGCAGCAGUGGGGAAUAUUGGGCAAUUGGGGGAAACCCUGACCCAGCAACGCCGCGUGAGGGAAGAAGGUUUUCGGAUCGUAAACCUCUGUCCUUGGUGAAGAGGAAGAGACGGUAGCCAAGGAGGAAGCCCCGGCUAACUACGUGCCAGCCGCCGC
rnacentral:rRNA from 1 species